rnacentral:rRNA from 1 species
UACGGGGGGGGCAAGCGUUGUUCGGAAUUACUGGGCGUAAAGGGCUCGUAGGCGGCCAACUAAGUCGGAUGUGAAAUCCCCAGGCUUAACCUGGGAAUUGCAUCCGAUACUGGAUGGCUUGAAUCCGGGAGAGGGAUGCGGAAUUCCAGGUGUAGCGGUGAAAUGCGUAGAUAUCUGGAGGAACACCUGUGGCGAAGGCGGCAUCCUGGACCAACACUGACACUGAGGAGCGAAAGCCAGGGGAGCAAACGGG